rnacentral:rRNA from 1 species
AUUGAACGCUGGCGGCAUGCUUUACACAUGCAAGUCGAACGGUAACAGGGAGCUUGCUCCGCUGACGAGUGGCGAACGGGUGAGUAAUGCAUCGGAACGUACCCAGUCGUGGGGGAUAACGUAGCGAAAGUUACGCUAAUACCGCAUACGUCCUGAGGGAGAAAGCGGGGGGACCGUAAGGCCUCGCGCGAUUGGAGCGGCCGAUGUCGGAUUAGCUAGUUGGUAGGUAAAGGCCUACCAAGGCGACGAUCCGUAGCGGGUCUGAGAGGAUGAUCCGCCACACUGGGACUGAGACACGGCCCAGACUCCUACGGGAGGCAGCAGUGGGGAAUUUUGGACAAUGGGCGAAAGCCUGAUCCAGCCAUGCCGCGUGAGUGAAGAAGG